CCUUCCGCAUAUUGGUAUUGGCAAGUGGCAACGCACCAGCGUGCCGCCUACGUAUUCGCCAAUCGCCAUAGACGGCGAGUGUGGCUGUGGCCUCUCAAAGACUAGCAUUUUUUGGCAGAACGCGAGUACAGGCUAAAAGAAAGAAAGUGCGAACAAAAUCGAUCCUGCAGUGGCGCGAAGAUCUGCAUCGAAGAGAACUGAACUCGGACCUCGGGGAUGGGAGGCGUGAGAGGCCUUAAAUUGGCAUCAUUCGCAGGUCACAGCUCCGGCCACCAAAAGGCUGGGGGCUUCUUCAGUUGUUGGCUCAUGAGCUCCCCAUGCCUUGCCUGCCUGACUGACAGUGUGAGGCACAGCCACCUGCGGUAGCAGUGCGCUGUGCCUGUGAGCAGCGGCAGUUCCUGAGCUGCGGUGGCGGUACUGCAGUGCCGCGGCCCGCUCUCUGCAGCACCGCCAGGGUUCCUGCGGCUACUGACCCCCUCAUUAUGCUUCCCGGCUUCCCGCAGCUCACAGAGCGGUGUUCUUCCUACUGUAAUCUAUUUAUUAUUUGGCAACCGGAGACACAGUGAAGACAGGGCAUCGACAUGCAUGUCAUGAUGAACGCGGUAGUACGAGCAAGCCUGCAGAGUCAACUGCUCUCCUGCUUCGUCACAGCCAGCCUCACAGCUGCAUCCAGGCUCGCUGCUGAGGAUCCAUCCAGUCUCCGGGACAUCUUGCAGCUGGUAGGGAUCGCCACGCCGUUGGUGUUGCAGAGGAAGAAAUUGCCUAGAGAAGAUCUUGCGCCACCCCGUUCAACCAAAGUGGUGGCUACUGACAGAACCAAAGGGCAGUAAAUGAAAAUCUCAGGUCAACAAACAUACAAGUCCAACAAGAGUAGUGUGUCCCCAUCCCCAAGCAACAUAACCUGCACUGGUAUGGUAUCUCGACCCGGAGCGCAUGCUGCAACAAACAGCUGCCAAUGCAAAAAACAGUUGAUUAUCAUUUUAAAGCAUAAAACUAGCAAAACGAACGCCAGAUGAAAGCUGAAGUCAAGAAAAAUGAUACACCAGCACGCGUACAAGCGCAGCGUAACUGGUCGUCUGCAGCCACGGCAUUGGAGAAACGAUGUCAUCGAAUAAAAGUAGUGGUCACAUUUCAGAUACGAGAUUAUCCCUAAUUAUUAUGAGAACCUGUUUUUUAUUUGGACGAUGCCAGUCGACUUUUGGCAUGUGAAUCCCAUUUGCAUUACCUUGGCACCUUUGUAAAUUGUGUGAGCUCGUAGAUCUUGGAAUAGAACAACAAAUUAUCUUUGCUAGCAUGUGUGUUUCUUUAGAUUGUCCAUGGAUUGUCUGUUAGCAAUAUUAUUAAUUAACAUCAUGAACAUAAUUACAAAUAAAAAACGUGUACCCCUGAAUAUGA